AAAUUAAGAGAUGAAUUCUUAC
rnacentral:miRNA from 1 species